rnacentral:sRNA from 1 species
UCCUGCUGCCCUCCUUGGGCGUUUCCUCCCUAGACUUCGGGCCGCCUUUCGGGGCGGCCUUUUUUCUGUCCGCA